GACGAACGCUGGCGGCGUGCCUAACACAUGCAAGUCGAACGGAGAUGUUGAUUUCGGUUGACGUCUUAGUGGCGAACGGGUGAGUAACGCGUGAACAAUCUGACCUUAAGAGGGGGAUAACAACGAGAAAUCGUUGCUAAUACCGCAUAAGACCACAAUGCCGCAUGGCGAAGGGGUCAAAGGAGCAAUCCGCUUAAAGGAGGGGUUCGCGUCCCAUUAGGUAGUAGGUGAGGUAACGGCCCACCUAGCCGACGAUGGGUAGCCGAGCUGAGAGGCUGAUCGGCCACACUGGAACUGAGACACGGUCCAGACUCCUACGGGAGGCAGCAGUGGGGAAUAUUGGGCAAUGGGCGCAAGCCUGACCCAGCAACGCCACGUGAGGGAAGAAGGUUUUCGGAUUGUAAACCUCUGUCGCAGAUGACGAAACAAAUGACGGUAAUCUGUGAGGAAGCCCCGGCUAACUACGUGCCAGCAGCCGCGGUAAU
rnacentral:rRNA from 1 species